CUCGCUCUCUAAGUUGAGUCCAACUAAGGAAGAAGAGCAGGAAGAAAAAAUAACUCAGUGAUCUGAAAACCAUGGAAAGCUUAUUCUGUUUCCAAACGUUGAACGAAUCAUGCAGCUGAAAAAGUAAGUUUGUGGAGGAAGAUACUGAAGUCAAUACUGAAAGAAGCAACAAAGAGACACCUGGGAAUCAAAGUCCAGCACCAUAGUGGAAAUCACAGACAAGGUUUGAAGAGUCCCAGACAGCACUUAUAUACAUCACGUUCAUUCUGCUCUGGGACAUUAUGGACAGAAGUUGCAAUUGUUUCUGCUGCAGUUCCAAAAGCAACUGUCAAGAGAAGGCCUUUGGGAGAAGAAAGGUGAGCCAGACAGCAGACUCCAUGACAGUGCUGGAUGGACUUCAAGAAAAACUUUGCCUCACCACCCUCCUGUAAGGGAACAGUAGAUGGUGACUAACAGGAAAGAAACUUGACCAUGGUGUUAGCACAAAACUGUUUGUAUUUGCCUUCUAGAUAUGUAUAGAACCUUAUCUGAUCAUAGCAUGUACUAUACCCUGAAUUGUAUUGCUUCUGCACCCUUAGAAGACAGACAAAAUUAUUGUUAUAAAAAAUGAAUUAUUUAGUAGCUGUACAGAUUGGCUGUUUUUCCACCCCAUCUGCACUUUAAAGCCAGUGUGGUUACAGUCUGUAAGAACUCUGCCAAAAUUGGAAAUAUCCUGACUGAUGUCCACAGCACACCGACCACUUUAUUGGCCAGGCAUUUCAACUAAAUGAGGUGAUCUCGCAGGAGCAGCGCAGCACCAGCUUCAGGAAAAUGAUCUAAUCUGAGCAUUAACAAUGAUUUGCAUCACAUCAGGGCCCGAUUUCAAAGGUCCUGAGCUCCUGUAGGAUAUCCAGGUAUUCAGCAUGUCUGAAAAUAAGGCUCAUAACUGCUUUGUGCGACAAUUUCUCCAUUGGUUUGAUAUCUCAGUAUAAGGCAAUGGGUGCACUAAAAAUUAAUGAGCAGAUUCUGGAGGUAAAGAGCUCUGUAAAACAGGAUAAUACUUAACUGCUUCACAGGGGGCAUAAGGAUUAAUGAGUUAAUGUUUGCAAAGUGCUUUGAAGAUGAAAAGUGCUAAGUCUUAUUACAUCUGGUGGAUGAAGUAAAUGAGCAUGAGGAACAGGUUCCCAAUUCCAUCCUGUAACUACCAGAAACAAGGUCUCUCUCUAAAUGUCAUAAUAAAUAAGGCUCUG